GCUUUGUAGCUCAGCUGUAAAACAUUUGUCUCCCACGCACAAGGUCCCAAGUUCAAUCCUUGGCAACUCCA